CACGUCCACAUCUAGGUUGCAGGUGCCGCGUCGAGGAGGAGGCAAAUCGACGCACGCGAGGACGAUCUGUACAUCACCGGAUGAGAGGACAGGCUUCAGGGGCAGGGGUGCCUGAGUUGUAUCGAAGCAAGUCCUUGGAGGUAGAGGACGAGAAGGACCACCGGCGUUCGCGGCCACCAUCGUCGAGCGAGACAAGGCCGUGGCGCCCGCGCUCGUCCCGACUCCUGAGUAUGCCACUGCAGGUUGCGUCGCCUCAGCACAUCCUGCGGGAGGAAGGCAUCCGCGCCACCCCGUUCUAGCAGCACCGGCAGCAGGCGACGGGGAGGAUCCAUCGGAGCUGCCCCGGCGCCGAAACCCUAGCCAUGGGGAGGGCCUGCUGGCGAGCGCUGGUGGCCGGGAGCUGUGAAUCUAGCUAGAGGGGAGGAAGGAGCGGAGCGAGAGGAAGAUGGGGGUGUGCUGCGCACCGGCCAUACCCGCGGGAAGUCGACGGAAUCGGGCGGCGGUGCGAGGAGUCGCGUGUGGGAGAGAGGGGGCUCGCGAGAGGAAAGGCUGCGGAGGAGGGGGG
rnacentral:rRNA from 1 species